CAGAGAAAUAAAAAAUAAAAAAAAAGAAGAAGAAGAAAGAAACAUGAGAUCAAACUUUCCCAGCUACCUUUAUUAGUUCUUUGGCAGUGACAUGUGUUGUUUAGUCAUGCAUAGUUUCCUCACUUCGCCAUGACACGACAAUGCGAGUGAGUCAGACUAGAUGUAUGUCGACUCCGUCACUGAUCCCAUGCAUCCAAAACUGAAACCAACACAAAGCUCAAGUCUGCAGAAAUCACACGGGCCGUUGUUGAGCAACUCCAGCAGCGCAUUUAACCACCGUCUAGAGCUCCAGAAACACGACUAAAAUUAAAACGUCCUGCAAUUCUGCGGUCUGGCAGCCGGUGGAGGCUGGGAUGGAGAACACACUGAGAGCAGUUUUAUCUCCGUUUGAUACCACGCUGCCGUUAAAGAAACACGACAAGGAAGAAAAAACCAAGGUGGACGCCGGCCAAGAUAAACACAAGGAAAGAAUGCGAGAGAGAGAGAGACGCUGCAGAAGUUACAUUUUGCUUCCAAUAAGGCAGAUUUAUAAAUAAAUCUUCUCCCUGCUUUCUGGAACUGUUGAGAACUGAUCCUGCAUUUUUCAGCCUCUUCUUGCACAUUUCACAGGAGUCUUUACUUUGUCUAAAAAAGCAAUUUUUACAGAUGAAGCGCUGAUUAAAACAUACAAUAGAACUGUAAAAUGGAAAGAAGUGACUUAUUCUUAUACACAGGUUUUAAAAAACAAACAUGUAAUCUGAUCAUUUUACUGUCAAAGUUUAAAACCAAGUUUAUCCUCAAAUCUUCACUUCUAUUCUGAACAGUACCAAGAGUUCUUGUGUAUCUAAAGAUCUAUGUUGUCAUGACGAGGAAGAACAAAGAAAUAAAAAAACAACAUUAUUUUACUACAGAUUUGUCAGUAACUGAAAAGUAUUACUAUGUACUGUACAGUAUAUGAACUCAAUACUUGACUGGUCCUAGUUUUACACAAAUGACUCUUUAAGUAGUGGCCACAACUGCAGUUGUCAUUUUCACCACACGGUCUUCCUUCCACUCAACUUUCCAACAACAUGCUCAGAUGCAGCAUAUUAUCUAAGCUCGUGCUUAGAUAAUAUGUAGUUGAUAAGUCUGCUUCUUAUCAACUACCCAUCAGUGGUUUAGUUUUGGUUUCAUGCGGUAUUCAAAUUGACUGGCAAUCAGAAUUAGAAAUAAUCCAAAUCAUCAAAAUGAAUUGAAACAGACUUACAGUAUAUCACUGUCCGGAAU